rnacentral:rRNA from 1 species
AGUGAACGCUGGCGGUAGGCCUAACACAUGCGAGUCGAGCGGCAGCACAGUAAGAGCUCGCUCUUACGGGUGGCGAGUGGCGGAUGGGUGAGGAAUACAUCGGAAUCUACUUUUUCGUGGGGGCUAACGUAGGGAAACUUACGCUAAUACCGCAUACGACCUACGGGUGAAAGCAGGGGAUCUUCGGACCUUGCGCGAUUGUAUGAGCCGAUGUCGGAUUAGCUAGUUGGCGGGGUAAAGGCCCACCAAGGCGACGAUCCGUAGCUGGUCUGAGAGGAUGAUCAGCCACACUGGAACUGAGACACGGUCCAGACUCCUACGGGAGGCAGCAGUGGGGAAUAUUGGACAAUGGGCGAAAGCCUGAUCCAGCCAUGCCGCGUGGGUGAAGAAGGCCUUCGGAUUGUAAAGCCCUUUUAUUGGGGAAGAAAAGCAGCAGGUUAAUACCUCGCUGUUCUGACGGUACCCAAAGAAUAAGCACCGGCUAACUUCGUG